GUACUGCUGAAGAGUCCCAAACCGGGACGAAAUAUCUGUCUAGUAC
rnacentral:hammerhead_ribozyme from 1 species